rnacentral:rRNA from 1 species
UACAGAGGGUGCGAGCGUUGUCCGGAAUCACUGGGCGUAAAGGGCGCGUAGGUGGCGAGCCAAGUCCAUGGUGAAAGCUCGAUGCUCAACAUCGAGUCGGCCACGGAUACUGGUGCGCUUGAGCACUGUAGAGGCUAAUGGAAUUCCGGGUGUAGCGGUGGAAUGCGUAGAGAUCGGAAAGAACACCAACGGCGAAAGCACUCUGCUGGGCCGACACUGACACUGAGAGACGAAAGCUAGGGGAGCGAAUGGG